rnacentral:rRNA from 1 species
UAAUACGUAGGGUGCAAGCGUUGUUCGGAAUCAUUGGGCGUAAAGCGCGUGUAGGCGGUUUCCUAAGUCUGGUGUGAAAUCCCGGGGCUUAACCCCGGAAGUGCAUUGGAUACUGGGUGACUAGAGGACGAGAGAGGGAAGCGGAAUUCCUGGUGUAGGGGUGAAAUCCGUAGAUAUCAGGAGGAACAUCGGUGGCGAAGGCGGCUUCCUGGCUCGUUUCUGACGCUGAGAUGCGAAAGCGUGGGGAGCAAACAGG